GAAAAAUCAACUCUUUUUUGUAUUCUUUUGGCCUUUGCGGUUAUCUAAAGCCAUCAUCAGUUGUUUGAAGUGAAAUCGAUCUUCUACAAUUCUAGGGUUUGAUAUUGUUUUUUUUCAAUUUCAGUAUAAAUGAAGCCGAUACGGUUACCGGAACCUCCAUCAAGUCCACGAGGAAUCGGCGGUGUGCCGGAUAUAUUUGAAGGUGGAGUUCAUGGUGUGAUUAGGCGAGCUGUUGUCAUCGGUAAUGGUUUUCCUGCUUCGGAGAAUCAAAGUAUUGGUCUGAUUCAAGCACUCGGCCUCUCUGAUAAGCACACUCUAUAUCGGGUUACUAGACCAAGAGGAGGAGUGAAUGAGUGGCUACACUGGCUUCCUGUAUCAUUACACAAAACGGUGUAUUACAUCAUAAGCCAGAUAUGUGGGAUUCUAUUGAGAAGAAGGACUAGAAAACUAGGAACUUUGCCUAUGGAAAAUGGUGGCAAUGUAGGCUUGUCAUCUAUUUUGGAAGCUGACGUGAAGAGUAUUGUUAGAAUGGCUCGCGAGACAUUUGAGAAGGAUGGU
rnacentral:misc_RNA from 1 species